GUAGACUAAUUGAUGAGAGUAUUCGAGAUUAAUGGGUGAACAAAAAAUGUGAAAGGUAUUAUGAAGUUGAAAAGAACGAGAUUACUAUUGGGCUUUCUAGAGCUAUGAAAUGUGAAUCUGUGGAUACUUGGUGAGUCCGUUGGAUACUUUGUGAGUUGGUGAGUCUGCUGGAUACUGAGUGAGUCUGUCAAUGCGUGGAUGUGUCUAGUGUUGUGUAAGCUAUUAAAUUGUACCAUGGGUUUGUUGGAAUAUUUCGUGAAUGAAAUGUGAUAUUGUUUAGCUUUAACCAACAUGUAUGAUUUGUUAUGUAAUCUCAAUGCGUAAAAUUUGCUUUUAGUAUAUGAUGUAGAAUAAACAGUGAUGCUUAUGUGGGUAGUUGCUACGAGUGUAUGCCUUUCUUGAGUAGCAGCAACGAUGUUUGGAGAACUGAGUUUAAGGAAAAUAAUGGAUUGAUAGUUUACCAGAAUGGCUUUAAUGU